GCAAGUCGAGGGGCAGCAUGAACUUAGCUUGCUAAGUUUGAUGGCGACCGGCGCACGGGUGAGUAACACGUAUCCAACCUGCCGAUGACUCGGGGAUAGCCUUUCGAAAGAAAGAUUAAUACCCGAUGGCAUAGUUCUUCCGCAUGGUAGAACUAUUAAAGAAUUUCGGUCAUCGAUGGGGAUGCGUUCCAUUAGGUUGUUGGCGGGGUAACGGCCCACCAAGCCUUCGAUGGAUAGGGGUUCUGAGAGGAAGGUCCCCCACAUUGGAACUGAGACACGGUCCAAACUCCUACGGGAGGCAGCAGUGAGGAAUAUUGGUCAAUGGACGAGAGUCUGAACCAGCCAAGUAGCGUGAAGGAUGACUGCCCUAUGGGUUGUAAACUUCUUUUAUACGGGAAUAAAGUGAGGCACGUGUGCCUUUUUGUAUGUACCGUAUGAAUAAGGAUCGGCUAACUCCGUGCCAGCAGCCGCGGUAAUACGGAGGAUCCGAGCGUUAUCCGGAUUUAUUGGGUUUAAAGGGAGCGUAGGCGGACGCUUAAGUCAGUUGUGAAAGUUUGCGGCUCAACCGUAAAAUUGCAGUUGAUACUGGGUGUCUUGAGUACAGUAGAGGCAGGCGGAAUUCGUGGUGUAGCGGUGAAAUGCUUAGAUAUCACGAAGAACUCCGAUUGCGAAGGCAGCCUGCUGGACUGUAACUGACGCUGAUGCUCGAAAGUGUGGGUAUCAAACAGGAUUAGAUACCCUGGUAGUCCACACAGUAAACGAUGAAUACUCGCUGUUUGCGAUAUACAGUAAGCGGCCAAGCGAAAGCGUUAAGUAUUCCACCUGGGGAGUACGCCGGCAACGGUGAAACUCAAAGGAAUUGACGGGGGCCCGCACAAGCGGAGGAACAUGUGGUUUAAUUCGAUGAUACGCGAGGAAACCUUACCCGGGCUUGAAUUGC
rnacentral:rRNA from 1 species